UAGAAUAUGGUGUUUCUAAAAUAGAAGGACUUAUCUUUCCUCCUCUACUUUGCAACUAAGAUUAGCUUUCUUUCAGCACCAAAUGACAGCUUUCUGCCUGGCCCUCAGAGGAACAUGGAGCAUUCGAAGAUAAUAAGGGAAGACAUUAGAGCACAGGCAAAGAGAUGACGAUGCCACAGAAGAGAUACAAGAUGCACUUUUCAAAGAUAUGGUGAUUGGAUGAUUGAGCUCAUAAUUUUUAACUAAUGUCCACACUCAUAGUGUUUAAUUAGGGUAAGUACCUAUUGAAGGAAUUGCUGAAUCAUUUCAUUAGUGUAUUUUUAUGUGUAUAAGAAAUUACCACAAUAAUUUCUAGAAUGAUUGUACAGUUAUUCAAAUCAUCCACCAGAUCU
rnacentral:lncRNA from 1 species